rnacentral:rRNA from 1 species
CACCGCGGUUAUACGAGAGGCCCAAGCUGACAGUUACCGGCGUAAAGAGUGGUUAAAUUUACCAACAAAACUAAAGCCGAACGUCUCCAAAGUUGUACAACGCACUCGAAGAUAUGAAGAUCAACCACGAAAGUGGCUUUACACUCUUUGAAUCCACGAAAGCUAGGAAA